UGACCAUGGAGGUUUCAUCUCUUCUACCUGGGGCUGUACACAGGGGAUGCCCCAGAUGCCACCCUGGCCUAUUUAUCAGCUCAACCUGGGCUGCACCAAUCCUGACACAGGGAAGCUGGACCCACUUCAUAUGAAGAUCCAUCCUGUAGCAGACCCCAAAGCUGCUGAGGGGAGACUCUGGUUUCCUCCCCACCAUCCCCCACCGCACAUGUCACCUCUCCUGGAGCAAGAGGGUUAUCAGUCUCCACAGUCAUUCAUAGCCUCGUUUAGAGUGGAAGAAAUGUCUAGCAGAUCUUCUAAUCCAACUCUGCUCGAUCAGGGCAGGACUGACUUUCCUUGACCAGUUUCAUCCCAGGACAUGCACCUGCACUGAGUUCUUCUAAUGGGUUCCCAGCAAACAAACCAAAGUAAGUGCAAUAUCAGCAGCUAGAGGCCUCUGUCUCAAUUUUACUUCAUGGAUCAUCUCUCAAAACUGAACUGAGUCCUACACCAAGAAGGGAAAAUGCCAUGUCCUACAGUAAAAAUGGAAGAGAGCCCAGGUGAGCUGACCUCAGAUCUGAAUGAAUCAUUUGCCCCCAGUUCGAGAAGGGAAAUUUUGUUAUUAUAAUAACGGUAAAUAGUCAUGCACUUUUCUAGCUUUGGUACAUCAACACAACAUAUGAUCCUCGGUGUUCUCUUAAUGUUCAGCUUUCCUGACAUUGCUCCAUCAAUGGAUCCCAAAAGUGCCCUGAAGGAACCCAAUGCUGGUGCGAAAAGGAAGUUCAAUCUGUAUAUUCAUUCACAGUCUUGGGCCUCUCCCCCACCCAUGGAAUAUCCCCCUAGCCUGUGGUGACAGUGGAGCCGUGCAACUUUCCCUCUCAUUCCCGUGCGUGUAAGAACCGGGUUGUGG